rnacentral:rRNA from 1 species
AGAACGAACGCUGGCGGCAGGCCUCAAACAUGCAAGUCUAGGGGGCGUAGCAAUACGUCACCGGCGGACGGGUGCGUAACACGUGGGAAUGUACUUAUUGGUUCGGAACAACUCAGGGAAACUUGAGCUAAUACCGAAUGUGCCCGUAAGGGGAAAGAUUUAUCGCCAAUAAAUCAGCCCGCGUCCGAUUAGCUAGUUGGUGGGGUAAAGGCUCACCAAGGCGACGAUCGGUAGCUGUUCUGAGAGGAAGAUCAGCCACACUGGGACUGAGACACGGCCCAGACUCCUACGGGAGGCAGCAGUUGGGAAUCUUGGACAAUGGGGGAAACCCUGAUCCAGCCAUGCCGCGUGAGUGAUGAAGGCCUUAGGGUUGUAAACUCUUUCGGCGGGGACGAUAAUGACGGUACCCGCAGAAGAAGCUCCGGCUAACUUCGCGCCAGCAGCCGC